AUUCGCCCACCUACUGUGCCAACAUGGCGGCGCCCAGAUCGUAAUUCGGAAAACGUGCACCCUGACUAAUUCGGUUUUCUGUGGCUACAAGAGCAGGCUUGGCGGGCGGAGGCGCCAGCGGAUGUCUCAUGCAAGGAUCGUCUCUGUGGCUAAGCCUCACUUUCCGCUCCGCCCGGGUGCUCUGUAGAGCCCGGUUUUUCGAGUGGCAGUCCCCAGGGCUGCCGAAUCCAGCAGCGAUGGAAAACGGCACCGGGCCCUACGGAGAAGAACGCCCACGUGAAGUCCAGGAGACGACAGUCACCGAGGGGGCUGCCAAAAUCGCCUUUCCCAGCGCCAACGAGGUCUUUUAUAACCCGAUGUGCUGUGAUCACCGAGUUUGCUCGCAUUCAGCUUGGGGCCAAAGGAAUCCAGAUCAAGGUGCCAGGAGAGAAGGACACUCAAAAAGUGGUCGUGGACUUGUCAGAGCAAGAGGAGGAAAAGGUUGAACUGAAAGAGAGUGAAAACCUGGCUUCAGGAGACCAACCUCGCACAGCGGCCGUGGGGGAGAUCUGUGA
rnacentral:sRNA from 1 species